UGGGGAAUAUUGGACAAUGGGCGAAAGCCUGAUCCAGCAAUGCCGCGUGUGUGAAGAAGGUCUUCGGAUUGUAAAGCACUUUCGACGGGGACGAUGAUGACGGUACCCGUAGAAGAAGCCCCGGCUAACUUCGUGCCA
rnacentral:rRNA from 1 species